rnacentral:snRNA from 1 species
AGACAUGUGGGCAAUCUAUUACUUCUGUAACUACACUCAUUGCCUGGGUCAACUCAGCUGAAUGGCAGGUGGAUGUCACUUUUCCUCCACUGUUCCAUUCAUGUCCCUUCUGAAGCUGUGUACUCAGCUUUCCCAGUGGAGGAGACCCAUUCUUUGGUCAAAUAUUUAUAGGUGGCUGCGUUCCCUUGCCAGAGCUUCCAAACAAACCUCAAGGUCUAUUUGUAGGAUAAGACAGAGUAAUGAAGCCUCCACUACUCCAGACACAUUAAAAUGUGCUGCAUAGGGCAGGCUGCCCAUCUUU